rnacentral:lncRNA from 1 species
GACCAAACUGUGUAAUUAGCUUUUAUUUUCGUCUAUAUUUAAUACUCCAUGCAUGUGUUUAAAGAUUUGAUGUGAUGGGGCUGAAAAAAUUUACAAAAUUUUUUGGGAACUAAAUAAAGCCUUAAUGAACCUUAUUGACUGUUUGUUGGCUGGACUAUUUUGACUGUUUUUUUAUCUGUUUCUUUUGAGAGCCAACUAUACAUUUUCUAAAUGACUGCUAUUGAAUGAAUUAGUUGAUAAUGGUUUUAGUACCAAAAAUUACAUUUACCUCUGCAGCGCACGUCGUUCUCAGACUGUUUCCAAAUUAGACCUUUAAUGUACUUUUUCUAUGGCUGGUGCUGGUACGUAUUUAUUCUCACCCAUACUAAUUAAUUUUGGCUCGUGGCUUUACCAUGCGCAGCCGGUGCGAGGAGAUAGUGCAGCAACAUAUCCAUAUUAGUUACGACGCAUGCACAUAAUGGCUUUUAAUGAAAAAAAUCAUAACUCCUAAACAAAAUAUCCAAAUUAAAUUUCGAUUACACCAUUUGAUUUCUUGUAAUAAAUCCUUCAAAACAAGAUCCCACAUGGAUAUAUUUAGAUAAAAUUUUAAUAACGAAUAAUUAUCAUAUAAAGAUAGAACAUUUUUGUAUUGAGCAUGUUUAAGGUUUAAAAAAUAAUGUUCCAUCUUCAUAAUAAAAUAUUCUAAGAACCGUAUUGGUAUUAUAAACAUGGCGACGGAUGUUCCAUCUUCAUUAAAAAAUAAUGUUCUAUCUUCAUAAGAGACGAUGUUCCAUCUUCGUUAUAGUUAGCAAAUCAAGUAUCCAAAUUAAAUUCAGAUUGCGCUAUUGGAUUCCUUAUACUAAAUGCUUCAAAAUAAGAUCUCAACAUGAAUAUAUUCAGAUAAAGUUUUAUUAACGAAUAUGUAUUUCAUAAAGAUAGAAUAUUUUCUUUUAUUAUUGAAUAAAGGUGGUGUUCUAGAUUCAUAAAACAAUAUUCCGCCUUCACAGAAAAAUAUUUUAAAUUUAGAAAAAACAAUAUUCCAUAUGAAAACACACUUAAAUGAUUGGUAUUAUAAUACCGAUAAAUAAAUAAAAUAAACAUAUAGAAUUAUAUAAUAAAUAACAUUACACAAGGGAAACAUCAUGCGUAUAAUAUAACAAAUGGAACAUAGAAAAAUACUACAUAACAUGUUGUAUAAAUACUACAUAACAUGUUGUAUGAAUACUACAUAAUAUGUUGUGAAAAUACUUAAAGAUAAUCAUACAGUAUCUCAUUCAUCAUGUGUAUACCAUAUACAAUGGAAUAUGGAAAAAAUAAAAAGCAAACAUCACAUGUAUGUUAAGUGAACAUAACUAAAUACAUUACGGAACAUCACUAAAUAUAUUAUAGAACAUCACAAAUACAUUACGAACAUCACUCGGUACAUCAUAGAACACCGCAUGUAUACUAAGUGAACAUCACUAAAUACACCAUAGAACAUUACUAAAUACAUUAUAGAACAUCAUAUAUAUAUUACCUGAACAUCACUAAAUAUAUCAAAAAAAACAUCACAUGUAUACUAAAUGAACGUCACUAAAUUCACUAUCGAACAUUAACAUGAACAUCGCUAAAUACAUCAUAAAACAUCACUAAAUACAAUAUAGAACACCAUUAAAUACACUAUAGAACAUCACAUAUAUAUUACGAGAAUAUCACUAUGUACAUCAUCAUAUAUACUAAGUGAACAUCGCUAAAUGAACCAUCGAACAUCACCAAAUGCAAUAUAGAACAUCGCCAAAUACAAUAUAGAAUAUUGCAUUAUCAGAUAUAUAUUACACGAACAUCACAAAAAAAAACGUAGAACAUCACAAAAAUACCACACGAACAUCACAAAAAAAUAUCAUAGAACAUUACAUAUAUAACACCUGAACAUCAUAAAAAAUCAUAGAACAUUACAUAUACUACAUAAACAUCAUAAAAAACAUCAAAGAACAUGGUAUUGUAUACCACAUGAACAUUGCAAAAAACAUCAUUUUACAUCACAUCUCAUGAAAUAUAGAAAAGAAAAAAGUAAAUAUAAAAAAUAAUUAAGUAAGAUAAAGUAGAAAAAUAAAAAAUCUAUAAAAACAUAAAGACAAAAAAGAAAUAAAAAAAUAAAUAAAACUAAUUAAUGAUAGUAAAUAAAAAAUAAAAUAAAAAAUAAUAUGGAAAAUUGAAUGAAACAGAAACAAAAAAUAAUAUCACUCGCUUCCUAUGGUAUUAGUCCACUAAAAAAAUUAAACAACCACCAUAGAAUCAAUAUCAAGACGUUUGUAGCGUUUCAAUCACAUGCAUGCAUGUAUUCCACAAAAAAUAAUCUAAUAAACACCUUUAUAACCAGCACUAAAUUAAUGUGUUGCCAAAAGAAAAAAAAAAUGAAUGAAAUAAAAAAUGAAAAAAAGAAAGGGAAAAAAUGAAGCACAAAAAGAAAUAAAAAAAAUAGAGGAAAAAAUAAAAGAAAGAUAAAAAUAUAAAAUAACAUAAAAGAAAAAGAAAAAUAAAUUGAAUCUAUAAACAUGAAUUAGGGAAAAAGAAAAAGAAAAAACAAAAUAAAGAAAAGAAAAAAUACCAAGAAAAAACAAAUAGGAAAACAAAAAAAAUAAAACUAUACAACAACGGGCAGGAAGGAAAAUGAAAAGAUAAAGAAAAAUAAAAUAAAAUAAGAAAAAGAAAAAAGAAAAAGAAAUAAAUAAAAAGAAAAAGAAAAAGAAAAAGAGAAGAAAACUAACAGCAACGAUCGGGAGGGAAAAGUAAAAGAAACAUAAAAAGAAAGAAAAGAAGAAGAAAAGAAAAGGAAAGAAAAAAGAAAAAAAAAAGAAACGUACGUACCUGAUAAGCCGUCGCGCGCGCGGAAGUCAUUGGGCGGGAAUCGUCGGACGGGGUCUCCGGUCCGAACGUUCGGACCGGAAGAUUUCUGGGACUGCGGUGCCGCGCGGUGGAGUAAAAAAAAAUCCACGAGGGUGAAGGGCUUGUUUAGUUUCAAAUUUUUUUUUUAAAAAUCACACUUUCGCUUGUAUUUGAUAAAUAUUGUCCAAUCAUGGACUAACUAGGCUCAAAAGAUUCGUCUCGUCAAUUUCGACAAAACUGUGCAAUUAAUUUUUAUUUUCGUCUAUAUUUAAUACUUCAUGUAUAUGUCUAAAGAUUCGAUGUGACGGAGAAUCUGAAAAAUUUUACAAAAUUUUUUAGAGCUAAACAAGGCCGAAGCCGUGAAGGCACGCUCGGUUUUCUCCCAGAAAUCACGGUUUGGCGCCCCGGACGGUUGUCCUACCAUGCAAUUCGGCUGUUGCCCAGCCCGGACGAAAUCACGAACACGAGGCCACCGACCUGAUAACCUCUGCGCCUUUGGCUCCUGCAGUCGUUCGAUAGGGCAAGUUUCUUGGGGUUUGGUGAGGAAAACGACGAGGGCCCCCAGCUUUCGGGCAGACAGGCUUCUGGACGUUUGAAACGUGGGAGCCGUUCCCGCGACCGUGCGCAAAAUGACACAGCGGUAGGUUUGUCAGCGUACUGCUUUUGCUGUUCUUGAGGCGCAGUUAAGCAGCUAUCUGCUUGUCUUGUUCUGUGUCGUCUUUGGGCAAACUUGCAGUCAUUCCCCUAGUAGUAGUACAGCUCAGUGGCCUUUAGCUAGGGUAAAGCUCCAAAAUCACCUCCCUGGCUCUUUCAAAUUAAUGUGAAAGAGAGAUGAUUUUGGAGCAAAGAGAGUGUCCUCCGAAUUGGUUCAGUACAAGCAUUUUUGGUUCAUGGUUCUCGAAAAAGAAAAGGGAACAGUUUGGUGCAUGGAUUGCCAAAAGGAAUUGGACACCUAGCUAGUAAGACACCACCAAUGACCAACGUAAGCACGUAAUACUAGAACUGACCCAAUAAAAAAAUUAGAUGAUAUAGAUGGUGAAAUUUUAGAACACUACUAGACACAUAAUGGAAAACACAUUUACUUUUAUACUAUGACACCUCUCAUCAUCUUUCCUAUAUCUAGAAGGGGUUCUCUAAUGUUGUGGUCUCAUUAGCAACCUUAGAAAUUUACUUAGGUUCGGACGACAUGCACAUGAAGACUAAGCGACAUAUACUUAGAGAGUGAAUGUGAUCCAUGCAAGAAAAGGAGAUAAGAAUGAAAGCGACGUGUCCUGAGAACUAAGAAGAGAAAAGCAUGGUAGAGACCACUAGUGGAAAUGAUUUUGGUGGGUUCUAUGUGUGAAUCGUACCCUAAGUCGCUUUCAGCCUUAGCUUUUUCCCUCACACACAUCACACAUACUUAUUAUCUGUGUCUUGUUUAGUUCACCUAAAAAACUAAAAACUUUUCAAGAUUUCUCGUCAUAUCAAUUUUUACGGCACAUGCAUAAAGCAUUAAAUACAGUCAAAAACAAAAACUAAUUACACAUUUUUUUUUGUAAAUCGCG